rnacentral:rRNA from 1 species
GACGAACGCUGGCGGCGUGCUUAACACAUGCAAGUCGAACGGAAAGGCCCUGCUUUUGUGGGGUGCUCGAGUGGCGAACGGGUGAGUAACACGUGAGUAACCUGCCCUUGACUUUGGGAUAACUUCAGGAAACUGGGGCUAAUACCGGAUAGGAGCUCCUGCUCCAUGUUGGGGGUUGGAAAGUUUCGGCGGUUGGGGAUGGACUCGCGGCUUAUCAGCUUGUUGGUGGGGUAGUGGCUUACCAAGGCUUUGACGGGUAGCCGGCCUGAGAGGGUGACCGGCCACAUUGGGACUGAGAUACGGCGCAGACUCCUACGGGAGGCAGCAGUGGGGAAUAUUGCACAAUGGGCGGAAGCCUGAUGCAGCAACGCCGCGUGCGGGAUGACGGCCUUCGGGUUGUAAACCGCUUUCGCCUGUGACGAAGCGUGAGUGACGGUAAUGGGUAAAGAAGCACCGGCUAACUACGUG